GGGGUCGUAGCUUAGCCUGGUUUAAAGCGCCACACUGUCACUGUGGAGAUCGCGGGUUCAAAUCCCGUCGGCCCCGCCA
rnacentral:tRNA from 1 species